UGAAAUCUGGCCCCCAGGGUCCGAGUUGUAAUUUGUAGAGGAUGCUUUUGGUGAGGUGCCUUCCGAGUUCCCUGGAACGGGACGCCAUAGAGGGUGAGAGCCCCGUCUGGUUGGACACCGAGCCUCUGUAAAGCUCCUUCGACGAGUCGAGUAGUUUGGGAAUGCUGCUCUAAAUGGGAGGUAUAUGUCUUCUAAAGCUAAAUAUUGGCCAGAGACCGAUAGCGCACAAGUAGAGUGAUCGAAAGAUGAAAAGCACUUUGAAAAGAGGGUUAAACAGUACGUGAAAUUGUUGAAAGGGAAGCGCUCAUGACCAGACUUGGGCUUGGCGAAUCAUCCAGCGUUCUCGCUGGUGCACUUCACCUCGUCCAGGCCAGCAUCAGUUUGUCGCGGGGGAUAAAAGUUUCGGGAACGUGGCUCCUCCGGGAGUGUUAUAGCCCGUUGCAUAAUACCCUGCGGUAGACUGAGGUUCGCGCUCCGCAAGGAUGCUGGCAUAAUGGUCUUCAGCGACCCGUCUUGAAACACGGACCAAGGAGUCGUCCUCGUAUGCGAGUGUUCGGGUGUCAAACCCCUACCCGUAAUGAAAGUGAACGCAGGUGAGAGCUUCGGCGCAUCAUCGACCGAUCCUGAUGUUCUCGGAUGGAUUUGAGUAAGAGCAUACGGGGCCGGACCCGAAAGAAGGUGAACUAUGCCUGUAUAGGGUGAAGCCAGAGGAAACUCUGGUGGAGGCUC
rnacentral:rRNA from 2 species